rnacentral:rRNA from 1 species
AUCUUCCACAAUGGACGAAAGUCUGAUGGAGCGACGCCGCGCGCGGGAUGAAGGCCUUCGGGUUGUAAACCGCUGUCGAGGGGAAUCAAAUUUUGAGUGAUCCCUGGAGGAAGCACCGGCUAAACUCGUGCCAGCAGCCGCGGUAAUACGAGUGGUGCAAACGUUGUUCGGAAUUACUGGGCUUAAAGGGUGCGUAGGCGGCCAUGUAGGUCUGAUGUGAAAUACCACGGCUCAACCGUGGAACUGCGUUGGAUACCGCAUGGCUGGAGUGAGACAGAGGUAAGCGGAACUGAUGGUGGAGCGGUGAAAUGCGUUGAUAUCAUCAGGAACACCGGUGGCGAAAGCGGCUUACUGGGUCUUUACUGACGCUGAUGCACGAAAGCUAGGGGAGCAAACGGGAUUAGAUACCCCGGUAGUCCUAGCUGUAAACGAUGAGUACUAGUCCGUGGGGACCCCCACAUCCUCUCGGACGUAGCGAAAGUGUUAAGUACUCCGCCUGGGGAGUAUGGUCGCAAGGCUGAAACUCAAAGGAA